ensembl:lncRNA
AAGAAACGUAAUCAGAAGUGACAUCCCAUCGCCUCUGACCUAUAUCUUAUUCACAGACCUCCCGUCACCUUUGACCUAUAAUAUCCUAUUCACAGACAUCCUGUCACCUUUGCCAUAUUAUCCUGGUUAGAAGCAAGUCACAGGUCCCAUUAACUUUCAAAGGAAGAGAUUAUCCGAGGACUUGAUUCAUUGGAUGUCACUUUAGAAUGUGUCUGCUCUCCGGCCUUUGAUGAGCCUUGUCCCUUCCACGUGAACAAAUCAUCGUCCCAUUCCAAGUUUCCUUAAAGUCUCAUUCCAGUAUAGCAUCGGAUGAAAGUCCGGAAUCUCAUCAUCUGAAUCAGGUGCCGGUGAGGAGGAGGCUACUGGUGGUACAACUUUGUGGAGCUGUGAAACUAAGAGGCAGGAGAUCUGUCUCCAGUACAGCCAACUUAAAGUUGUCAGGCAGGCGUUGGGUAACUGCUAUAAAUAUUUCUGUCCAAAAAGGAGUUGCUGGUCCAUGGCAAUUCUGAAUUCCAGUUGAGAAAACUCCAGCCAGAGUCCUUGGUUAAAUUUCAGAGACUAGGGACAAUCCAGGUCUGAAGUGGGAAAGGCCAAUGUUUGUUCCUAAAAGGUGGCAACUGGCCAGCUGUUAUUUCUCUGACUAGUCUUUAGGGUACCUUGGCUCUCUCUCUGGAUUCUUGGCCCUGCCCUAUUGGUCAACUUUUUUUUUUUUUUUUUUUUUUUGAGGUCAUAGGAGGUAGCCCUUGCUUACAGUGAGUAGUUUCAUCAGCCUGCUUCCUGCCAGUGGAAUCUGGGGAGUCUGAUAGCCUCCUUUCACGUUGUGCUUCCUCCUUUAAAUCCAGGCAGCAGUAUGUCUUUUUUUUUUUGUUUGUUUUAUUAUUUAAAAAAAUUAUUAAAGUUGAUUUACAAUGUUCUGUCAAUUUCUGCUGCACAGCAAAGUGACCCAACUCUACAUCCAUAUACAUUUUUUUUUUCACAUUACCCUCCAUCAUGUUCCAUCGCAAGCGGUCAGAUAUAGUUCCCAGUGCUAUACAGCAGAAUCGCAUUGCUUUUUUAAAAAUUUUAAAGCAUUUUUAUUAAAAUUUUUUUAUUAUAGUUGAUUUACAAUGUUCCAUCAAGUUCUGUGAGAAGUUUCUUAAAACCUUUGGAUAUCUUCUGUGGAUUUUUCGUGAUGCGUUCCAUCAGACUGAAGCCACAUCUAAAAGGACACAUCUGUCCUUUUAGCGACAAUCACUUCUCUGAGUUGGCCCUGCUGGGAUGACUGAGAGGAUUGGCGAGCCGCACGUUUCAUCUCUUGAGAAGGCUCUUUGCAUGACUGAAUUCUCUAACUACUUGAUGUGGAGUGUGGCAUUUCUUCCUAGAGGAUGGGAAACCAGCUCGGCCAGCUCUCAUUGCCCUGACUAGUCCUUUCACAUUUCCAGAAUAUGUCGAAAUCAGAGAUGUGGUUUUGGAUGUUUGGGAAGCAAAGAAGCAUAAAAUGGAGCAGAAGGUAAAGCCAGCUUUUGCCUGAAGAUGGAGUUCAGUCUUUUUACAUGUUGUAGCAGCUGUGGCCCUGGUCCUGGCUCUAUUCAAUGAAAAUGAUUGAUGACUCCAGAUCCGUUGAACCUGCACAGAUCAGAAGCCUGAAACUAUCUUUAUCUUAUGUGGGAAUUGACACGCUUUGUGGUCAGGAAAGCUGGUCUUCUCACACCAAGGUCAAGUGUGGCUGUAGGAGGCGGAGCCUGCAGGUGCAGCAGCAUGUGGAGGGUACUUCUGACGCCCCCCUUCUCUCGAGGAAGAGAGUGUCCUAUCCCAGUCGGCGUUCCCAUCUUCCCCCCUGGACAACCUCAGACUUUUAAUGGCUUCGAGGUUUAGACCACAUGUGCAAGUGUGAGAUAUUUCUCUUCUCAAUUUUUUUUUUGUGGUGUAUGAUAGGAAGUCAUUAUUUUAAUUCUUGGAGAUGAAUUUGUUUACAGUAUUAAAUUACACAUGAGGGAAAUGAGAAGGGUUGACGACAAAGGUCAUGUGAAAAGAUUGAGAGGUGGGUUUAACAAUUCAAAUUAGAUUGAAAGCUGUUAAUGGGUGGCCUUGAAGGUCGGAGACACCUCAAGCCUGGUGGAGAGAAACAAGGGGACAGAAGAGACAGAGGGGCUACUUCAAGAGUUCCAAAUAUUAUUCUGACUAAUAGUUCAAUACAAAUUUUAUUUUACUGCUGGGUUUAUAAAGCCGAUCACAGAUCUGUCAGACCACGUUAGAAGCAGGAAGAGGAGAAAACAAGAUCCCUUUUAUUGUAGUCUAGAUCCUUGGGUGACAUUUUAUUCCUUCCACCUUCACAGGUAUAAAUGUAGAUACAGAUAUAAAUGGAAAAAUGGUCAGAGGCUUGAGAUCAUAGUAAACAGGCCAAUUUGUCACUAAGCUUUGUUUUUAAUUAAUUUUUUCCUAUCAGUUUUAUUGUGUUAUGAUUGACAUACAACAUUGGAGAAGUUUAAGAUAUAAAGCAUGGGGAGUUCCCUUGAGGUGCAGCGGGUUAAGGAUCCGGUGUUGUCACUGAAAUGGCUCGGGUCGCUAAUGUGGUGCAGACUGAAUCUCUGGCCCAGGAACUUCCACUGCCUCGGGUGCAGCGAAAAAAAAAAAAAAAAGAUAUACAGCAUAAUUAUUUAAUUUACAUACAUCAUUAAAUGAUUAUUACAAGUUUAGUGAACAUCUGUCAUCUCAGAUAGAUACAAAAUUAAAGAAAUAGAAAAAAAUAUUUUUUCCUUGUGAUGAGAACUCUUAGGAUUUAAUUGCUUAACAACUUUUCUAUAUAACAUACAACCGUGUUAAUUAUAUUUAUCAUGUCACACAUCAUCUCUUUAGUACUUAUUUCUUAUAACUGGGAGUUUGUACCUGUGGUUUGCCUCCUACCUGCUGAUGGUCAUAGAUUUAUAAAUAGAUUCUUAAUUAAACUAUCUUCAAAG